UCUUAAGAGCCUAAAUACCCAAAAGGCACCAAAUCCUGUCUGAUCUUGGAAGCUAACCAGGGAUUAGCCCUGGUUAGUACUUUGAUGAAAGGCCACCAAGAAACCCCAGUUCUGCAAGGA
rnacentral:rRNA from 11 species